CACUUUAUGAAACCUGAAUGUUUGGAUGAUUUUUCUCUGAAUUUUGACAUCGGGCUCGGAGAACAGGUUUAGAUAUAAAGAUGUCUGCGCCCAGAUUACACUGUUUGAUGGUGUUAAGUUCAGCCGUUGAAGGUGUUACAGCCCAUUCCUUUAUUCAGGCAUAUACCCUCGCAAGUUCAAAUUUCUCCAUACAGUUAUCUUCACCUCAUGGUAAGAAUGUAGAAUAUGUCCAGCAAGAUGACCACAACAGGCGGUGGUUUAACGAGUUCAGAAGCAAAUCCUCGUCGAAUCCAAUUCCGUUUGAAACUGUUGACUCGGCCAGAUAUUCAGCCCUUUUGAUUCCGUCCUCCCCGGGGUCGGUUCAUGAUUUAGCAAACAACCCAGAACUCUGCCAGAUCAUCACGCAUUUCAUCAAAGAGAAAAAGCCAAUAUGCGCUAUAGGAAUGGGAGUUGCGGCCCUUUGCUGUGCAAAGUCAUCAGAUGGAAAACACUGGGGACUCCAAGACUACAGUUUGACAGGGCCCUCUGUGUAUGAACUGGCCAGAAAUCAGGAUUUCACAUCUCUACCUGUAAUUAUUGAAGAUUUUAUCAAAGAUCAUGGUGGAAAAUACAACAGUAGUGAUAUGGAUGCAGUACAUGUGAUCAUUGACAGACAUUUAAUAACGGGACAGAAUGUGCAGUCCACACUCAUGGCAGUACAGAAUUUAACUCUAAUGUGUGCUCAGAAUAAGCAUUCAGUAGUCAACAGAGACAUUAGGUAAACUCUGUAAGGAGUACUAGUAGCAUGGUUAUUUUACAUCAGCUGUGUACAUACCCAGUUCCCACUUUCUCCAGCUUAAGUCAAAACCAACCAUUGUCAUUAUACAUUGAAGUACCUAUAAGUAGAAGGAACAAUAAUUUGAAUAUAUGACAUCAUAUUUAAAGAAAUGGUAUGCCAUGGAAUCUUUUAUCAAGGGAAAGUCUCCAUAACCUAUAUACAAUAGCAUUCUAUAUAUACGAUUAAGCAUGUUUUGAUUUUUCUUUAUCAUUGGAAUUUUCUUUUGUUUUUCAUAGCAUAUAUUUUCAGUUUCCAAGAUGUCAGAUAGAGGGAUAUAAUAUUGUUAUCUAGUUUUCAUAAUAAAUGACUAAGUUUUAAGCGGAAACUGGUAGAGAGACAUCACAAAAUUAAAAGAAAACAAACAUUAAAAUUAUCGAUUAAAAAACGAAUUCAUGGUAUAUAAACAUGAUCAUUAGAUGGUCCAAUUUCCAGACGAUCUGUCCCUUCCACAGGACAAACGGAAAAGUCUUACGUGGAUAGAAUAUGCACAAAAAGCUACCACAAAAUCUGUUUUAAGGAGCGAAUUAGCACGUCCUGUGCGUCCACUGGGAUAAUACACAACGCACAAAGAGAUAAUGGGUGACGUUUCAUUCUCAAAGGAGGACGAGUUGAUUAACGAUGAUAAUCGGUGCAAAAAUUAACUCGUACCCGGCGAGAUUCCCUAGCAAGCACUGUGACAAAAACAUGGAGUCAAAAAGACAAAACGUGGACUGUUUGUUUGUUUUUAAGUCACGUAUAGAAUUUUCACUUAUAUUGAGACGUCACCAGUUGUACAUAGAUGAAAUAUCAUAAAUGUAGACCUGCAUAUUGUAUGUGUACCCAGAAUACUUGUCACGACACCAAACAUAUGUAACCGGAACCAGUAUAAGAGGGGUAAUAACUCAAGUGAUUGAAUGACCAAAAACUCUGUACAUUGCCUCUACUAAAAUGUUCAACCCAGGUACGGUUGGUUGUAUGUAAAACUUAUACGGUACCAAUUUUGAUGCACCAGAUGCGCAUUUCGACAAAUAAUGUCUCUUCAGUGAUGCUCAACCGAAAUGUUUGAAAUCCGAAAUAACUAUGAAGUUUUAGAUCUAAAUAUAGCCAAAAACAGCGUGCCAAACAAGUGGAGCCAAAUUUGUCCAAGGAUAAGAGCUAUGCAUGAGGGAGAAAAUCCUUAAUUUUGUAAUGAAUUUCUAAAUUUUAUAACAGCAAUUAAAUAUACAUCCGUAUUUUCAAGCUAGUAACGAAGUACUUAGCUACUGGGCUGUAGAGACCCUCGGGACUAACAGUCCACCAGCAGAGGCCUCGACCCAGGAGUCAUAAUGUAAAACUUAUACGGUACCAAUUUUGAUGCACCAGAUGCGCAUUUCGACAAAUAAUGUCUCUUCAGUGAUGCUCAACCGAAAUGUUUGAAAUCCGAAAUAACUAUGAAGUUUUAGAGCUAAAUAUAGCCAAAAACAGCGUGCCAAACAAGUGGAGCCAAAUUCGUCCAAGGAUAAGAGCUAUGCAUGAGGGAGAUAAUCCUUAAUUUUGUAAUGAAUUUCUAAAUUUUAUAACAGCAAUUAAAUAUACAUCCGUAUUUUCAAGCUAGUAACGAAGUACUUAGCUACUGGGCUGUAGAGACCCUCGGGGACUAACAGUCCACCAGCAGAGGCCUCGACCCAGAGGUCAUAAUGUAAAACUUAUACGGUACCAAUUUUGAUGCACCAGAUGCGCAUUUCGACAAAUAAUGUCUCUUCAGUGAUGCUCAACCGAAAUGUUUGAAAUCCGAAAUAACUAUGAAGUUUUAGAUCUAAAUAUAGCCAAAAACAGCGUGCCAAACAAGUGGAGCCAAAUUCGUCUAAGGAUAAGAGCUAUGCAUGAGGGAGAUAAUCCUUAAUUUUGUAAUGAAUUUCUAAAUUUUAUAACAGCAAUUAAAUAUACAUCCGUAUUUUCAAGCUAG